CAGCAGCCGCGGGAAAACCAGCACCUCGAGUGGUCAGGAGGUUUAUUGGGCCUAAAGCAUCCGUAGCCGGUUGCAUAAGUUUUCGGUUAAAUCUAUGCGCUUAACGUAUAGGCCGCCGAAAAUACUGUGCAGCUAGGGAGUGGGAGAGGUACACGGUACUCGAUAGGAAGGGGUAAAAUCCUUUGAUCUAUUGAUGACCACCUGUGGCGAAGGCGGUGUACCAGAACACGUUCGACGGUGAGGGAUGAAAGCUGGGGGAGCAAACCGGAUUAGAUACCCGUGUAGUCUCUGUCUCUUAUAC
rnacentral:rRNA from 1 species